rnacentral:rRNA from 1 species
CACGUAGGGCGCAAGCGUUGUCCGGAAUUAUUGGGCGUAAAGAGCUCGUAGGCGGACUGUCACGUCUGCUGUGAAAAGCUGGGGCUUAACCCUGGCCUUGCAGUGGAUACGGGCAGACUAGAGGUAGGUAGGGGAGAAUGGAAUUCCCGGUGUAGCGGUGAAAUGCGCAGAUAUCAGGAAGAACACCCGUGGCUAAGGCGGCUCUCUAGUACGGUACUGACGCUGAGACGCGAAAGCGUGGGGAGCGAACAGG